CACUAUUGCUUGAUAUUAACUUAAUACUCUAUUACUUGUUAUAUUUUGCACUUAAAUAGUCUCUUGGUUCUCUUAUACUAAAAUGUCUUUAUGAAACCAAAACAUAAAUAAACUAGAUAUGUCUAAUCAUGAGUCUUGCAGUCUGCUCGUCGUUUUGUUAUUACUUCUUUAGUUCUUUGAUAAAUAGCUUACAAAUUCUUUCAAUUGGUCGGCUUUAGCUUAUUUCAUGUAUUGAAUAAAUGGUUGUUUAUGGCAGUUUUUUGUCAAUUAGUGUGAUAAUCAGGUCUACGCUUUUUUUCUUUCAAUGUGUUUUUGUGCAUUGAGAAUCUUUUCUCCAGAAAUCAGGUAUGUCUUUUUUUAUUUUUCUAUAUAGCCGAGAUUAUUGUGCCAUAGUUGUUGUUUAGAAACUUAAACAUAAUCUCACUAUAGUUGAACUUUAGCUAAAUAUCUUAUUAUCAAUAUGCUUUCUUCCAAUGAGCUAUCAAAAUGGUUGUAUUAGGAUAGAUCACACCCUUUUCAACUGAUCUGUUUAUUUUGAGCUCUUCAAGAUGGUCAUAUUUGGACCUUUACCAUCCGGUCUUUUGAGGCAAAUCACCCAGAGCGCACCAUUAGUGUGAGUUAUGAUGGUUUUGCUGAAGAUGUUGAAGUGGGUAAUGAACUUCUUGUGGAUGGGGGUAUGGUCUUCUUUGAGGUUGUUGAGAAAGUUGGCCCUGAUAUCAAGUGUUUGUGCACUGAUCCUGAUUUAUUGUUGCCCCGCGCUAAUCUGGCAUUGUGGAGGAAGGGAAGACUGGUUCAACAAGGUAACAAUAUGCUCCGAACAAUCACAUCUAAGGUUGGAUAUUGAUUUUGUGGUAGCCGAAGGCGUGGAUUCUUCCAGUCUCAUUCUGGCCCUUUAGGAAAGCAACUGAACUUCGAGUUGGAGCUGUAUUAUCAUUCCCCUUUUGCUGAAGGGGGAAACCAAACUAUUAUGUGUUUGUGGAUGCAGGUGGUGAUGCAGUAUGUGCAUUGUGAAUUUUUGGUGUUAUGAUUAUAAUGCUCAUAGGUAGAUAUGAGAUACUACUAAGAAUCCAGUAAUGUUGUGUUCUAAUUAGGACUCAAUUAUCUAGUGUCUUCUGUUUACAUGUACUAAACAACAAUCUACUACUAUUUGUUUGUGCGAUUUAUCUAUUCUUAUUUGUGUGCGUGCACGCAUGUUCAAUUCAUUGUUUUCUUUUUAAAUCUAAUUGUUUUAUGCUCCUUCCAGAAUGUUUUUUCCAAGUAAAAACUGAACUUUCAUUUUUGAUGUGCAGGGAUGUUGUUGUAAUUGCUAAAAUUGAGAGUGUUGAUUCGCUGAAGAACUUGGAAGAGAUCAUACGAGCUUAUGAUGCGGCUAUGGUGCUAGAGGAGACAUGGGUUCACAUAUACCUCUGGAGAAGGUUCCAUUUGCUCAGCAGAGAAUUGUUCAUCUGUGUAGGGAACUCAAUAAGCCCGUAAUUGUUGCCUCUCGGCUCCUUGAAUCCAUGAUUGAGUAUCCCAUACCUACUAGAGCUGAAGUUGAUGAUGCAUCUGAAACAGUUCGGCAACAAGCUGAUUCAUUGAUGCUCUCUGGUGAAUCUGAAAUGGGUCUAUACCCUGAAAAGGCAUUAGCUGUUCUUAGGAAUGCAAAGAGGACAAGCUUAGCGAAGAAUUGGAACUUCCCAACAAUAUAUCAACUUCAUUGCUGGCUGUUAUAAAAGAAGAGAUAUGCUCUUCUGCUGCUAAAAUGGGUGAUCAAUUGUUGGUUCUCCUUAAGAAGGUGGCUCCACUAUUGGCUACAGGAUUUUGGGAGCUAGAUGUAGGAAACAUGACUUCCACAUGAAAUGCUCCUCUGAUAUUUAUUCUGUUGCACGAUGCCUUUGUGUGUUUGACAUGUUGUAUUUGAACUUUAACUUUAUAUUUUGAUGUUUGAAUAGACUAAAAGAGACUAUUGCA